rnacentral:rRNA from 1 species
CCUACGGGUGGCAGCAGUGGGGAAUAUUGGACAAUGGGGGGAACCCUGAUCCAGCCAUGCCGCGUGUGUGAAGAAGGCCCUCGGGUUGUAAAGCACUUUCAGUGAGGAAGAACGCCUGGUGGUUAAUACCCAUCAGGAAAGACAUCACUCACAGAAGAAGCACCGGCUAACUCCGUGCCAGCAGCCGCGGUAAUACGGAGGGUGCGAGCGUUAAUCGGAAUUACUGGGCGUAAAGCGCGCGUAGGUGGCUUGAUAAGCCGGUUGUGAAAGCCCCGGGCUCAACCUGGGAACGGCAUCCGGAACUGUCAAGCUAGAGUGCAGGAGAGGAAGGUAGAAUCCCCGGUGUAGCGGUGAAAUGCGUAGAGAUCGGGAGGAAUACCAGUGGCGAAGGCGGCCUUCUGGACUGACACUGACACUGAGGUGCGAAAGCGUGGGUAGCAAACAGGAUUAGAUACCCUAGUAGUC